rnacentral:pre_miRNA from 1 species
UGCUGGUUUUCACCGCGGUUAUACUUCUAACAAUAAUUAUCACCGGGUUAAAACUUGCAGA